AUAUCCAUAAUAAAGGCUAGAUGUCUUACGGCGGAGUCUCAAACGUCAUCACCGGCGGCCAUCUUGCCUCAGGCAAGCUUUCUGGCGUGCUCUGUGGUACCUAAUGUAAGGAUUUGUUGAGCGACGGGUUCUGAAGAAGCUGUCCUGUGAUGUCUGCUGUGCCAGCUUGGUAACAGAUGCUGCAUCUGCCAUCAAGGACCAGAGCUACCACCUGCUGAAGUUAAAAAAACAAUGGAAAUCUGGUGAUUCCAUCAGAAGGCACAGUGAUGGUAGUCAGGGCAGCAGAGUGGGUCAUUCGUCAGACCUGUCUAUGGCAAAGACAGCCACCACCAUACGCUGUUAAUGUUGGUUGUGUCCUUGUUUUUUUAAGUUAAGGCUGCACCACAUUGCCAAAAUAACUAACCUUAGCUUACAGAGCAACAACAUGCAACAGAAGCUCAAUAAAACCGUCCUUUUCAAAGGGCAUUAGCCAA